rnacentral:sRNA from 1 species
AGAAUCUGUAUGCUUUAAUAGUUCUAAGUCCCCCAAGCCUUCCUACAGCAACUUCCCACUCCAGGUGGCCAGACGGGAGUUCCAGACCAGUGUUGUCUCCCGGGACAUUGACACAGCAGCCAAGUUUAUUGGUGCUGGGGCAGCCACAGUUGGUGUGGCUGGUUCAGGGGCUGGCAUUGGAACCGUGUUUGGCAGCUUGAUCAUUGGCUAUGCCAGGAACCCGUCUCUCAAGCAGCAGCUCUUCUCCUAUGCCAUUCUCGGCUUUGCCCUGUCUGAGGCCAUGGGGCUUUUCUGUUUGAUGGUCGCCUUCCUCAUCCUCUUCGCCAUGUGAGGCUCCAUGGGGGGUCACCGGCCUGUUGCUGCUGCAACUCCACACCAUUCUUGGUGCUGGGGUGUGCUAAGCUUUACCAUUAAACACAACGUUUCUCUAAA